UCAACCUAGUAGGGACGUGUCCCUGCGCCCAACGACAUUUUUUGUCGGGAUCGUGGCAAGUCUACGAUCCAGGGGGUGAUGUUGAGAGCCGGAAGGCAAGGGGGUGCAAACACCAGUCGGCCUUUGUCCCGAUUGCUGAGUGUUAUGUGCUUGACGUCCAAGGCUUGAUGCUGAUCCUCCAAGUGGGGCUUGUCCCUGCACCAAUGGCUAUUGCCAGGAUCAUGGCGUUUGCUAUGAUCGAAAAAAUGAGGGGGUGAUGUUGAGAGCCGGAAGGCAAGGGGGUGCAAACACCAGUCGGCCUUUGUCCCGAUUGCUGAGUGUUAUGUGCUUGACGUCCAAGGCUUGAUGUUGACCCUCCAAGUGGGGCUUUUUUGUUCCUGCGGUAACGACUUUGUUGGGAUCAUUGUGAUCAAGUUUGGUUGGUUUCGUAUUGUGGUGGGUUUUUUCGAAGCUUCUAUCGUUGUUUUACGCAUCGUGCGGUGCAUCUUGGGGGCUGUUUUGGCUUUUGGUUGCUUGCUUGGGCUUUAUGCUAGGCGGGUGGCUAAU
rnacentral:misc_RNA from 1 species